CUGAAUGGCCUCUUGGCCUUCAACCUUGCAAACCUGUGGAAGCAAGAUGUGCUUCGGCGCCUUGGCGCCGCUAUUAUGCUUUAAUCAGUCUCUGUGUCUGAAUCAAACAUGAGAAAUA
rnacentral:misc_RNA from 1 species